AGAGUUUGAUCCUGGCUCAGAACGAACGCUGGCGGCGUGCCUAACACAUGCAAGUCGUACGCGAAAGGGGGCAACCCCCGGUAGCGUGGCAGACGGGUGAGUAACACGUGGGCAACCUGCCCGGAGGUGGGGGAUAACCCUUCGAAAGGAGGGCUAAUACCGCAUGAUAUCCCGGAGUCUUCGGAUUCCGGGAUCAAAGCUGGCCUCUACUUGUAAGCUAGCGCCACCGGAGGGGCCCGCGCCCCAUUAGCUAGUUGGUGAGGUAACGGCUCACCAAGGCUACGAUGGGUAGCCGGCCUGAGAGGGCGACCGGCCACACUGGAACUGCGACACGGUCCAGACUCCUACGGGAGGCAGCAGUGGGGAAUCUUGCGCAAUGGGCGAAAGCCUGACGCAGCGACGCCGCGUGGAGGAUGAAGGUCUUCGGAUCGUAAACUCCUGUCGAGCGGGACGAAGUCCGGGAGGGUGAAUAAUCCUUUCGGUUGACGGUACCGCUGGAGGAAGCCCCGGCUAACUCCGUGCCAGCAGCCGCGGUAAUACGGAGGGGGCCAGCGUUGUUCGGAAUCAUUGGGCGUAAAGGGCGCGUAGGCGGCCACGCAAGUCGGAUGUGAAAUCCCUCGGCUCAACCGAGGAACUGCACCCGAAACUGCGAGGCUCGAGUCCUGGAGAGGGUAGUGGAAUUCCCAGUGUAGCGGUGAAAUGCGUAGAUACUGGGAGGAACACCGGUGGCGAAGGCGGCUAUCUGGACAGGUACUGACGCUGAGGCGCGAAAGCCAGGGGAGCAAACAGGAUUAGAUACCCUGGUAGUCCUGGCUGUAAACGAUGG
rnacentral:rRNA from 1 species